rnacentral:piRNA from 1 species
UCAAAAAUAGGCACUUUCAGA